rnacentral:rRNA from 1 species
GCACACCCUGUUGAGCUUGACUCUAGUCUGGCUUUGUGAGAUGAGUUAGGAGGUGUAGCAUAAGUGGGAGCUUUUUUCAAAACUGGGAAAAGCGCCGGUGAAAUACCACUACUCCUGAUCUUGUUUUACUUACUCCGUUAGGCCGAAAUAAGGAAUGAAGUGAAGAACACUUUUUAUUCCUUUUUCUUUUUGCGUUAAAGUGAUUUAUUUCGCUGAUUCGGUGCGGAGGACAGUGCCAGGUGGGGAGUUUGGCUGGGGCG